UGGUGUCGCGGAAGUAGUAGACGCUGUUGCUGCCCAUGUUGUAGCUGGCCAUGGCCGCCUGCGUCGCCUUCCGCACCUGCGGGUCGUUGGGCGACAGGUCCUGCCGCUCUCCGACCUCGCGAUCCCCCGGCCGGGCCCGGGCGUCGCGGGGCAGCGCCAGGAGGCAGAGCGCGAGCAGGGCCGCCAGGCCCAGCGGCAGCAGAAGGCUCGGACGCGCCAUGGUUGCCGGCGUCGGUGUCCAGCCGCGGGCCCGCGCCGCUUUUACGGGCUGCGCGGCCCCGCCCGGCCCCGCCCGCCGCGUGCCUCCACCGGCGGGGAGGGAUCGCCGGGCCUGGGCAAGGCCGCCUUCCGGGCGCCGAGGGGGACAGCGGACAGCCCCGAGCACACCUGUGUAUCACGACGCUGCGUGCCCUCCAGGCACACCUAGUCCGGUGAGGGAAAGGGCAAGGACAGCCCCCAGCAACAAGUGCCACCAGUGGGACAGUUCACAGAGGCCCAUCACGUGUGAAAUACCAACAACAGCUACCAGCAAGCUCUUAACUGUCUCCACUGUGUAGCCUUGGAGAAGUUACUUAACUCUCACGGCCUCAAUUUCCGCCUCUGUGAAACGGGUUGCUGUGAGGAUUCAAUAAGUAAAGGGCUUAGGGGAGGCCAGGAGCUGUAUAAACAGCAGAGGAGUGAACAGGAGAAAGAGGGAACAACUGAUUUUGCCCAAGGACACCGACUGGUAAAGAGUAAACGGUGACACUGGCUUUUGAGCCCCAGCAGUCUAACCCAAAUCUGUGCUCUCAAGCCAGACUGAACCCAAAGAAUGAGAACUGGCCAGAAGGAGGUGUGUGGGUGGUCCCAGCUCUGCCGUUUACUGCCGGGGGGACUUCCAGCAAGUCCCUGGACCUCUGGGAGCCUCAGUGUCCUCAUCUGAAGAAAUGUGACAACUCUUGUCUUCUAAGGUUGUGCUGACAAUAAUGGCCUGAGACUGGGUCACCCAUAGGUAAACUGGGCCUGUGCUGGAGGUACCAGCAAUAUAGGGCUAUGAUGUUUUUUGGAAUAAUCUGACAAUCUAUAAAAAACAGCAUUGAAGUAGUCAA